AUUGAACGCUGGCGGAAUGCUUUACACAUGCAAGUCGAACGGCAGCACGGACUUCGGUCUGGUGGCGAGUGGCGAACGGGUGAGUAACAUAUCGGAACGUAUCCAAUAAAUGGGGGAUAACUAAUCGAAAGGUUGGCUAAUACCGCAUACGCCCUAACGGAGGAAAGCUAGGGACCUUCGGGCCUGGCGUUAAAUGGAGCGGCCGAUAUCUGAUUAGCUAGUUGGUGAGGUAAAGGCUCACCAAGGCGACGAUCAGUAGCUGGUCUGAGAGGACGACCAGCCACACUGGAACUGAGACACGGUCCAGACUCCUACGGGAGGCAGCAGUGGGAAUUUGGACAAUGGGCGAAAGCCUGAUCCAGCCAUGCCGCGUGAGUGAAGAAGGCCUUCGGGUUGG
rnacentral:rRNA from 1 species